UUCAAAAGGACUCCUCCCCUAACUCAAACUCGUUUCAAAACCCUUCAUAAGAGUUCUUUGAGUCUUUCCCUUUCUUCUUUCUCAAUUUGGAUUUGAGCAAAGGGGGAGAUUCAAACCUAGGGUUUGUGGUUCUUCCGACGUGAGUUCGAGCUUAAGUAUCAGGUGGAGUUCCUGGCUUUGGAUUUCGAUUUCAGGGUCUCAGCUCUUUCCUUUGACUCAGAUUCAAGUUUUGUUUAGUGGAUUUCCUUAACUCAGAUCACCCUCUUCGCGAGUUCAGAUUAGCCAUGUCGACGAGGAGAUCACGCUUCCCGAGGAGCCGCUCAGCCACUCAGUCACCUGAGAGGGAGCUUCUAUCUUUUACCAGUUUCACUAACUUGACUAUCGGAGAAACCACAGGGGAACCGGUCUCUGCCCUCUCACAAGUUCUUCUUGUCUGUG